GCUUUGUGAUUUCUUUCCUUUUAAAUAACUGCUUAUUACAGUUUGAAUUUGAUUCUUUAAUUAAAGGGAAGUCCAUAUACUUAUUUGAUUAUGAUUUAUGACAGUUCCUUAAUUUGGGACUGCUACCUUGUUUGUUUACUCUUAUUCAUUACUAUACGUACGCCCCAUUCCCCGCACGACACCAACACACUGCAUAUCACAAAAACGCACACCAGCAAUAGCAUUGCUCUCUCUUGUGUUACUUCUCUCUUUUGCUCUGUUGUUGCUCCCUGCUCCAUAUUAUUGUUAGACGGCUAUAAGCCAAGGCUAAUAUUGUGCUUAUACUUGGCUCUUGCAUUCUGUUGUACUCUCUUUGCUGCU
rnacentral:lncRNA from 1 species